AACGAACGCUGGCGGCAGGCUUAACACAUGCAAGUUGAACGUGAUUUGCUGGGUGCUUGCACCGAGCAAUGAAAGUAGCGCACUGGUGAGUAACACGUGGGAACGUACCUUUUGGUGGGGAACAACAGUUGGAAACGACUGCUAAUACCGCAUAAGCCCUGAGGGGGAAAGAUUUAUCGCCGAAAGAACGGCCCGCGGAAGAUUAGGUAGUUGGUGGGGUAACGGCCUACCAAGCCGACGAUCGGUAGCCGGACUGAGAGGUUGAACGGCCACAUUGGGACUGAGACACGGCCCAGACUCCUACGGGAGGCAGCAGUGGGGAAUAUUGCACAAUGGGGGAAACCCUGAUGCAGCGACGCCGCGUGGAGGAAGAAGGUCUUCGGAUUGUAAACUCCUGUUGUUGAGGAAGAUAAUGACGGUACUCAACAAGGAAGUGACGGCUAACUACGUG
rnacentral:rRNA from 1 species